AGACGGAUGAUCCAACCCAUUAUCUAAAUAAAAAUACAAACAAUUUCCAUGUCAUUUAUUGAAAAAGUAAAAUCUAAAACUACUAAAAUCCAAAACUCACCAUUAUGGGUCCUACAAAAUUGAAGCCCGCUUCAUCUAAUUCCUGGAAAGGGCCAACCGGUGGCCUCGGAUUCUUCUUUUUCCAAACAAUCCUUGCCUUUUUCUAGGUGGGUAGCUCGAUCGUCACCUUCCUCUUUGACGUAGUCUGUGCGACCAUGGAUUUAAAAGUUGGGGUGGAAAACGACGGUGCGGCGAUGGGAGCAAAACUAUUGCAGAAACGGAGCUGGAAAUAGAGGGCGUUGGCUUUUGCAAACAACGGUUUCAGGCAACCACUGGGGAAACCUGGGGCUGAAGCGGGUUUAUAUUUGGAAUGUUGUUUAACACGUGGGGUACUACGCCGGAGAGGAAGGUGUUCCGACGAGGAUUGUUAGGUAGAAGAAGAAGAAUCCAGCAAGGCCACCGACGAGUCCGACAGUGCAGAAAGUUGUUCCGGCGAAGGUGAUUAUGAGGAUUACAUGGAAAAUUAUGUGGCAAAAGAAAUUUUAAAAUCUUUGUCAUCAAGUUAAUGACCCAUCGACGGAGGGUUAGUCAUUUAGUGGUUUUGGACUAAAAAAACAAAUUAUACCUUAAGAUAAUUAUUUUGUAACUUUUAUAGGCGAAUGAUUUACUUAUAGACGAGUGAUUAUUUAUGUAGUUUAUCUAUAAAUAAAUUAGAUUGUGCAAUAGUAUAUUAUUGUUUAUUAAAA